rnacentral:rRNA from 1 species
UGGUGUACCAGUUGUUUUGCCAAAGGCAUCGCUGGGUAGCUAUGUAGGGAAGGGAUAAGCGCUGAAAGCAUCUAAGUGCGAAGCCCCCCUCAAGAUGAGAUUUCCCAUGAUUUUAUAUCAGUAAGAGCCCUGAGAGAUGAUCAGGUAGAUAGGUUAGGAGUGUAAGUGUAGCGAUACAUGUAGCGGACUAAUACUAAUAGCUCGAGGACUUAUCCAAAA